rnacentral:lncRNA from 1 species
UGACCAUCGAGGUAUAACAUACUCACUUGGAAUCCUUGCCUAGCGUUAUUCUUAAGCGCAACCCAAACAGGCGAACCAUCUUUGUAUCUAGCUGAAAGGGUUAGAUAAACAACAGAAUGAGCUACAAAAGCUCAACAUGUAACUAUAGUAAAUAAAUAAGACAACGGUUCAACUGAAUACAAUAGGAGGUUUCCGAUGUAAGCAAAGAUACAAAAUUUUCAACAUAGGUUCCGAAAUUAAGGAUCAUUCCAAAGAAACCAAUUUAUAAACCAUAAGUUCAUAAAAACCAUUCAUUCCUCAUAACUUUCAUGAAAUUUCCCUUUUCAUGAUAUUUUCUUUCAAAACGUUCAUUUAAGCUUCAUUUUCAAUCUCGAAAAUCAGCUCAUUUUCAAAAUAGUCCAAUUACAUGGACAUUUAUUUUCAUGAAACAUUUUACUCGAUUGGAGUGCAUAACGCUCUGGAUUGCACGGGUGAUCAGCCACGUACAAUCCCCAUACCGGACUUUACAGCCCCUCUGGACGUGAAUAGGGUACCCGAAAGGCAACUAUCAUUUGGCCUUUCAAAUGCCAGCCCUCACUGGUCUUCAUAAUGUGCCAGCCCUCACUAGUCUUCAUAAUCAAAUAGCUGGGCCGGCGUUACUCGGCCACUUACGCCUCCAAUCAAUAGAAUUCCGUGGAAAACCAUUAAAUUGGAAAACUUUCUUCUUUAAAAAUAUCUUUCGUUUUAAAAACUUACCAACCUUUCAAAUCAUUAGGACACUUGCAAGUCUAAAAUAUUCUUAGUUUUAAUUAUAGAAACAAGUGCCAUAUUCUUGUGGGGUCAAGUACAUGGAAAGAAAACGUCAUUCGAUCAAGUGAAAGAUAUUUCAAGAUAAAAAUAUACUGGAUACAAAAGCAAGAUCAUCGUGAAAGAGCUUGUACUCAAAGUGAGGCAUUAUAUUCAGUGAGAAAGGAAAUCAGGCUUUCAUAAUUCAAAAGGUAGUUCAAAGGUGACAGUACGUAUAUCAUUCAUCAUUAAGCUGCUUAAAAGAAAGAGGAAAGUUACUUGCCUUAAUCGCUUUCCUUCUUGUUCAAAGAACCUAUUCUUCUGUCACCUAGUAGAGCAUUUCCUAUACCGUUUAUUCUCACUUUUCUUUUGACAAGAUUCCGCCCACGACAUAGCUUCGUAUUAUCCGGUCAUUCCUGAUUCGACUUGCUUUGCAAUUCAACUACUUAUUAACGUCCUCGAUACACACGUCUAGCUCGGUUCUACAAGAUAGUACAAUAACACUUCAAUUGAAGAACAAUCCAGAUCGUCACUUAAAUCAUGGAAUCGAACUCUAUUUCUACCCAUCGCGACAUAGACAAAUACUGUAUAUACACAUAUUGUCGCACAAUUAAACAAGUAGUCAUAUCAUCACGUAUCAAAUAAUUCAUAUGCAUUGAUACUUAUACAUAUAUGACUAUCGAAUUCUUCUCGUAUGUAAUCUCAUAUCUGAUUAUAUACAAACUAGUAACACAUUAAUAGUACAUCCUUAUUUUAAUAAGAAAAUUUCGGCAGCAUCUCCUCUAUUUAUCGGACUAUCCACCUGUUUUAAUCUAGUAUCAAUAAUCAACCCAACAAAUUUCUAACCCAACAACUACAAACUAAUGAUACUCUGAACACAAAUAUAACUCAAUAAUUCAUAUAUUAACUUUCCACAAAAAUGACAAUGCCCGUAAUUUUACCUUAAAGCUUUGGUUGCUCAAUCCCCACAUCAUGAACCGAUAUCAAUAUUAAGAUUUAAAUCAAAACCAUAGUAUGCCCAAGGUCACCUUUUUAUAAAAAUCGUCUGCCACGAGAAUACUAUGUCGUUCAACUAUAAUCUGCACACAUGUUUCCUUAAUAUCCCAGUUUAAUAAAUAAUCCCUUAUGUAAAAAUCUCAUUUUAUUACACCAAGUCAUCAUAAAACUUAUAUCAUAAUUCGGUUUCAGAAUACUUAACUAUCCACAAAACUUAUCCAUAAAUAUUCUGGAUUCUUGAAUUACUACAUUUCAAACAUUACACAAAGGCAGCAAUUAAUUUAUCAAAACAGCUUGAAUACUAUAUCCUCAGAAUAUAUACAUAUAUGAAUCGAGUAAAUUAACAACUAUCGACCAAUAACCAUUAGUACACAUUUAUAUUCCAAUAAAUCACAGCUCAACACAUAGAUUUGAAUUUGCGAAAAUAAUUCUCUUUUUGACUUUAAAACUGAAUUUUCAUAAAUCUGUGCUGCUGACAAUCAAACAUUUUUAAUAAAUCAGAAAUACAUGAUUUUCACUUGAAAUUUUUAGGAGACCUCCCUGGACUCCAUGAAUAGCUAUAAAAUAAGUUUUGGCUUAAAAUCAAAGUAUAAGUAAUUUAACUAUAAUUUACAAAGUCAUAAACCGAAACAGUUUUGCAUUUUGCGCAUACCUUACUAAAAUAAUCAUAACUCCUUGCUCAUUAAUCUAAAUGCUAUAAUUCUUUUCGGAGAAUAAACUAGACUCCAACUAGCAUAUAAUUCCACAAGAAAUUAAUGCUCAAACACAAUACAAGCUGCCCAGAAAAUGGUUCCAAACAGAGGCAUUAUCACAGUACAAAUAUCAUCUCACACCUACCUCACUCAAACGGCCAUAACUUUUAGCUCGAUUAACUAAACUUUAAAAUUCUUGUUGGUACUUGUUCUAGACUUCAGGGAGCACAUUAUCACAGAAAUACUAAGCAUAUAAAUUCACUCAAUGAGCUCAGAACUGGGCUACAAAUCAGACCAGCAGCAGCCUAAAAUUUCAGCUUGAUUUUGUAUAGUUUAAAAUCUUUAAUCCACUACAUUUACUCUUAAAAUACCAUUCCAAAAUAUAUACAAAAUCAUCACACUCAUACAUAUAUUCUCGAUACAAAAGCUUUGAUAUCCUAUCAUAUACUCUUGUUAUUCAAGUAUCCAACUCAUUCAAAUAUAUUAUGAAUUAACGUUGUAAUUGUACUCACACUACCAAAACAAAUCAAAUAUCGAUACACAUAUAUACAAAUUAGCAUACUCACAUAUGACACACUAGAUGAAACAUGUUAUAUAUCAAAAUUUACGAGUUGACUAGUACGUGACAAAAAGAUUAUUGACUUGACGGAUGGGCUUAAAAGAAUGAGUUGGAUUACAGCCAAUGGGCUUUUGGUUUAAUUAAAGGGAGAAAAUAAUUGUUGUUAUCAAAUGGAUAAGUAUGAGAAUGAGUCGUAACAACCACGAGAUUUAAGGAAUUCAAUUUGAGUGGAAAGCUGGAUAAGGAGGCACAAGAACUGGGAAGUAGUUGCAUGCACGUGGGGUGAAAGGAGUAAAAAUAGGAAGUGACUUUCAAGAAGGACUCUCAAGGCUACUACUAUAUAAACACAACAAAGUAGAUUUAAGAGGGGGGCCUACUAAUAUAGCCUAUCAACAGCCUACUUGCCUAUGUUAUCUACCAACACUUACCUCCAAGCAUUAGCGGUGAAAACAAAAACUACGUAGUAUACAUUUUAUUUUAUUCACAUGCGGAUUGUAUUAAUGCUCAUUUGUACUACAAGUUCAUAGUGAAAUCUUUUAUUGGCUGGGUAACAAUCCCACCCGCGGUUUUUACCUUUACGGGGUUUCCGCGUCACCAAAUUCUCGUCUUGUUUUAUUUAUUUUAUUGUUCAAAUUAACUCACUUAGCAUUCACCCGUACAACCAAUUUUUUGGUAAAACAAUUUGGCGCCGUUUGUGGGGAGUGUGCUAAGAUCGAGUUAAUUUGACAAUGACCACCGACAUCUCACGACUUGAGUCGUCACAACCACUAACCGACGCCGAAAAGAACAAACAGCUGGAAGAGGCAAUGAAGAAAAUGCAGGCGACAAUCGAUUCCCUACAGAAAGAGGUCACGACACUACAUAAAGACAAGAGCACAUGACACAACAGGUCGAUCAGUAGGCCAAAGAAGACCUUGCAGAGCGUAGCACGUCGUCUGGAGAUGGUGAAGACGAGGCACCACAAGAAGAGGACGCUGAAAAUGAUCAACCUCCACCCGAAGACGAUGAGGAGGAGGACAUGCAUGGUCGACAUGAUGAAAGAUGUGACGACGACAGGGACGACAGACAGGACGGCGACCGGGAUGAACACCACGACGGCCGUGAAAGACGGAGGUCGAGGCAUAGGUCAUCAAGGUCACGUGACAAGGUCCCAGAGUCAGUCAAGAAGGAGCUCAAAGAGUUCCGAGAGAUGAUUCAACGAAUCCCAGGAGCGCCCAAACCUCUGGAGAAGGCGACCCCCACAAGCUACGCCGUCUCACCUUUUACUGAUGACAUUGCACUUGUCGACAUACCGAAGCGUUUUGCAGUCCCUUCUAUGAAGUCGUAUGACGGGUCAACGGACCCUCUGGAGCACAUCGCCCAGUAUAAGCAACACAUGUUUACCAUACCGAUCACAAGAGAUUUGAGGGAGGCCUGUAUGUGCAAGGGGUUUGGUUCAACAUUGGAAGGUCCAGCCCUACAAUGGUUCGUUAAUCUGCCCAACGGAUCAAUAGAGAGGUUUGCAGACUUGGUCGACACGUUCAAUUUGCAAUUUGCAAGCAGUCGGGUGUUUGAGAAGACGAACAACGAUCUCUAUAGAAUAGUCCAACGACAUAGGGAGCCGUUGAGAGACUACUUGAUGAGGUUUAAUAGAGAAAAAGUGACGAUCACAAAUUGCGACAUCCCUACGGCUAUAGAAGCCUUCAGAUGAGGAUUGGAGGGGGAUUCAUCAUUGUAUGAUGAACUGACAAAGUACCCCUGUAGGACAAUGGAGGACGUGCAGGCCAAGGCCAUGGCACAGGUCAGAUUGGAAGUAGACAGACAGGAGGACGACGAGGAGUAUUACCGUCCAAGUAGAAAGAUCACAACAGCCAGAAUAAGAGAUUACAAACCAUACGACAGGACAUCAUCUAGUGUUGAAGGCGGUUCAAACACCAUGGACGCGACAACACGAAAAUUCACUGACACCUGCAAAGGCCCUUAACUUAUAGACGUAGUGUUCGGACGAGGAGCAUAUCAAUUGUCCACAAUGGACGGAUCACAAGUACCAAAGACCUGGAAUGCUUUUCAUUCAAAUGCAUAUCACGUGUAAUGUGUCUGACUAUCUUUUUCUUUCUAUUCUAGAUGUCAUGUUAAUAAGUAAAUUAGGAUGAUUGUUUUUUGCUUGGCCUUUCGCCACUUAGGAUUUACUUGAUGUUUGCAAAUAAUUACCAUGCUCUAGUUGGUUUCAAUUAAUGAAAUAUGCUCAUACCUUUGUCCGAUAUUACGCAUGUGCUAUAAUAUGUAUGCCUUAACAUACACUUGUUACACUUGUUUUUAUUCUUCGAUAUGCCAUAUGAUUUCUGCUUAUGUUACACUCGUUGACUUGCAUAAUUUUUGCUAUUGCUGUGUUAAAUUACUUGUGCUUAGAUUCACUUAUCACAUAUUUUAUGGGUUGAUCACCCUUCACAAUUAAUUGACGCUUUCUCAUUUUUAUGUAAUAUUAUACCGACACGUCAAAAUAUUCAAGUAUCGCAAUAUAAAUGACACAUGACAUUAAAUCAGUCCUCGACUUCUACAACUACAAUUACGAGCUAAGUUUCAAGAGGGAUUUUGGCCUUUUAACUAGCCUACGAAUGCGUGCAUCAACGUUUGAAAAUUAUAUAUUUGUCGAAUACAUAUACCACAUGCAUCAACGUGUAAAAAUAAAUUUGUCGACUACAAUUACAUAUAUUGCGAGUUUAAAUACAUCAACAUAUUUAAGAUACAUGUCGACGGAAACUCACAACCCUUGGUUGAGCACAUUACACAUAAAUUUUAACAUACAUUUUUACAUAUUAUCACUUACACGUGUCAUGACAUAGACUACAUGUCACACAUUACAAUUACAAGUGACAUAUACGGUUUCAAACAACACAUCACGUUAUGAUGACGAUUUACACAUCAUUGUCUAUAAGUUACACAUCAUGGACCGAAGACAUACUACAAAACGCUUUACGUGUUAGUACAUUACAUUACAAUCACUCCAAAUUAAGGGGUCGCAUGAACCAGUUUCAAGCCAUGGAUGCAUAGGAGUAUGAUGUCGACAAUGACAAAUAUGCGACAUCUUGCACAUGUCAGAAAUAUCUAUAAGGGGCUUUACAAAUAUAAUGCAAAGCAACGUCACAACUUGACAUGUUAAUACUAUGGAGCUCUCCGACGGGUUGGCGGGGCUGUCCGACGGGUUGGCCGGGGCUAUCCGAUGGGUAGGUUGAGUUGAAAAUACACGUAGCUCAACACACAUAGUGGAUGUCUACAAUACUCAUUCUUAACACAUUAUGAAAGCCAUCUAUGAGUAAGGGUUUUGGAAUUACAUCGACACGUCCAACUUUACAACAUUUCAUGAGACUACCCGACGAGUCGAUCAACUUGUCCAUAUGUAGCCGACGCCUUCAAUCUACAACACGUGAUAGUGUGAGAAGAUGACGACUUACAUGUAUCACAUUGUUCAAAGGUGCACAAAAACUUUGAGAGGUAUUUGUCAAGAUAACCUCAAGCGAACGGGCAAGCGGAGUCAAGCAACAAGAUCAUCAUUAAUAAAUCUAUAGAAGGGGCAGACGACAUGUAAGGGACGUUGGGCUGAGGAAUUUUCAUGGGUCUUGUGGUCCGACGAGACAACACUGAAGAUGUCGACGGGACAUACCCCACAUAGUCUUGUCUAUGGAACUGAAGCUGUCUUGAAGUCAGAAGUCAUGAUACCAACUGCAAGAUAUUGGUGCAAACAUAUGACGAUAGGAUGCACUAGCACAUGAUAUUGACGUUGUGGAUGAACUAAGAGAAAUGACGAAGAUAUGGAUGGAGUCUUACUGACAGAGGGUAGCAAACGCCUACAACAAACAUGUUCGUGUCAAGACAUUUAAUGUUGGCGACUUGGUCUUGCGGGAGAUAUAUCAGAAUACUAUGGACAUGACGGCCGACAAGUUUGCUGACACAUUGGAGGGGUCCUACCUUGUUGACGCUAUGGUUGGACGCGGAGCAUAUUAGUUGUCAACCUUAGAUGGAAUUCAGAUACACACGCUAACGUCAAACAAGGAAACGCUUCGUAUGAUUUGGGAAGAUUUUAUUAAUUAAUUAAAUUAAUUAAUAAAAUCUGGGGCUAUUGUUAUAUAUCAAAAUUUACGAGUUGACUAGUACGUGACAAAAAGAUUAUUGACUUGACGGAUGGGCUUAAAAGAAUGAGUUGGAUUACAGCCAAUGGGCUUUUGGUUUAAUUAAAGGGAGAAAAUAAUUGUUGUUAUCAAAUGGAUAAGUAUGAGAAUGAGUCGUAACAACCACGAGAUUUAAGGAAUUCAAUUUGAGUGGAAAGUUGGAUAAGGAAGAACAAGAACUGGGAAGUAGUUGCAUGCACGUGGGGGUGAAAGGAGUAAAAUAGGAAGUGACUUUCAAGAAGGACUCUCAAGGCUACUACUAUAUAAACACAACAAAGUAGAUUUAAGAGGGGGGCCCACUAAGAUACAUUAGCGGUGAAAAGAAAAACUACGUAGUAUACAUUUUAUUUUAUUCACAUGCGGAUUGUAUUAAUGCUCAUUUGUACUACAAGUUCAUAGUGGAAUCUUAUAUUGGCUGGGUAACCAAUCCCACCCGCGGUUUUUACCUUUACGGGGUUUCCGCGUCACCAAAUUCUCGUCUUGUUUUAUUUAUUUUAUUGUUCAAAUUAACUCACUUAGCAUUCACCCGUACAACCAAUUUUUUGGUAAAACAAAACACACAUAUAUAAACACAAGGUCAUAUGACCUCACUAUUCGGCUUUCCAUGGUCUCGAACCACCACUGCUAACAUCCUCUCCAUCCACAGACAUGUACAUACACACAUAUAUAUACGUAGACCCAGCCAUCGCCGCGACUUCCUCGCCGUGAACCC